rnacentral:sRNA from 1 species
CGCCCAGGUAGGAUUGAUGAUUAGGGUGAAGUCGUAACAAGGUAUCCGUACGAGAACGUGCGGAUGGAUCACCUCCUUUCUAUGGAGUUAAUACUUUAUAGUAAUUAACUAGUUUUAAUGACUGUUAUGUUUAGUUUUCAGAGAUUAUUUUCUCUGAAAAUAACAAGUAAAUGUUAUUGGAAUUGUUCUUUGAAAACUGGAUAAUAGACAUCUUGUUAUUUUAAUCAAGUGAUUAAAAUAACAAUAAUUCAAAAUUUCUGUUAUUUUUAAAAAAUAACUAAAAUUUCACAGUUAUAUUUGUAAAUGAUUUUCAAAAAACUGAUUUAAAAUCAGGUCAAAUAAUUAAUAAAACUUUGAAGUUACAAAGGG